rnacentral:rRNA from 1 species
CACGUAGGGGGCGAGCGUUGUCCGGAUUUAUUGGGCGUAAAGAGCUCGUAGGCGGCUCAGUAAGCCAGGUGUGAAAACUCCAGGCUCAACCUGGAGACGCCACCUGAUACUGCUGUGGCUAGAGUCCGGUAGGGGAGCAUGGAAUUCCUGGUGUAGCGGUGAAAUGCGCAGAUAUCAGGAGGAACACCAGUGGCGAAGGCGGUGCUCUGGGCCGGAACUGACGCUGAGGAGCGAAAGCGUGGGGAGCAAACAGG